UAAGUUCAGAUUCCGUGAUUGGUUGCAC
rnacentral:sRNA from 1 species